UACGUAGGGUGCGAGCGUUGCCCGGAUUCAUUGGGCGUACAGCGCGCGCAGGCGGAUGCACGCAUCCCGCGUGAAAUCGCCCGGCUCAACCGGGCGGGGUCGCGGGAGAUGGUGCGUCUGGAGCACGGGAGGGGGCAGUGGAAUUCCCGGUGUAGUGGUGGAAUGCGUAGAGAUCGGGAGGAACACCAGUGGCGAAGGCGACUGCCUGGACCGUGGCUGACGCUGAGGCGCGAAAGCGUGGGGAGCGAUC
rnacentral:rRNA from 1 species